AUGAACGCUAGCGGCAGGCCUAAUACAUGCAAGUCGAACGGUAACAGGUCCAGCAAUGGAUGCUGACGAGUGGCGCACGGGUGCGUAACACGUAUGCAACCUACCUAUUACAGUGGGAUAGCCCGGAGAAAUUCGGAUUAAUACCGCAUGAAACUAGUUGGGAGGCAUCUUCUGGUAGUUAAAAUUUAAUGGUAAUAGAAGGCAUGCGGCUGAUUAGCAGUUGGUAGUGUAAUGGACUACCAAGGCUACGAUCAGGUAGGGGUUCUGAGGAGGAACGGUCCCCCANACUGGUACUGAGAGUACGGACCAGACUCCGUACGGGAGCAGC
rnacentral:rRNA from 1 species